rnacentral:rRNA from 1 species
UACGUAGGGUGCAAGCGUUGUCCGGAAUUAUUGGGCGUAAAGAGCUCGUAGGCGGUUUGUCGCGUCUGGUGUGAAAAUCCAGGGCUUAACCCUGGACCUGCAUCGGGUACGGGCAGACUAGAGUGCGGUAGGGGGAGAUCGGAAUUCCUGGUGUAGCGGUGAAAUGCGCAGAUAUCAGGAGGAACACCGGUGGCGAAGGCGGAUCUCUGGGCCGUAACUGACGCUGGAGGAGCGAAAGCAUGGGGAGCGAACAGG